rnacentral:rRNA from 1 species
UACGUAGGGUGCGAGCGUUAAUCGGAAUUACUGGGCGUAAAGCGUGCGCAGGCGGUUUUGUAAGCCAGAUGUGAAAUCCCCGGGCUUAACCUGGGAAUGGCAUUUGGGACUGCAAGGCUUGAGUGCGGCAGAGGAGACUGGAAUUCCUGGUGUAGCAGUGAAAUGCGUAGAUAUCAGGAAGAACACCCGUGGCUAAGGCGGCUCUCUAGUACGGUACUGACGCUGAGACGCGAAAGCGUGGGGAGCGAACAGG